AAAUGGGAAUGUUUGUUGUUUUUCUGUCUCACAUUAUCGCACAUACCUGGCUAAUUAAAAUAUGUCACUUUAAUUAAAGGUACCUAUGGAGGGUGGCCAGGGAUCAAUGUUAUCAAUGUACCCACAGCCCAGCUGCUCAUUUCCCAACAAGCAAGCUCCCUGAGUGACCUAGUAGUGUCACUAUCACAACCGACCUAGUUGAAACUUAUGUUGGAGGCAACCAGGGCUCUGUGUCCUCAGUAGAAGUGAGUUGCACAAGCAAGAUAAUCCUUUUGCUGCAUUCUCAGAGGACUUAGUCCCACACCCAGAGAGAAGUAAUGUGCCUGUCUCAGUCAGGAUGGUUCUCAGCUGAGCCCCAGAUUGCUGAGGGAGAUUCAUGGCUUGCUAACAUAAACUUUGUCCCUGGGUGGACAAAUCUCCAAGCCAUCUCCUCCACAUGUCAUGUUUGCUCAAGUCAAGAUGCAUACUUGCUCAAGUCAAGUGCCUACUCUAUGAGAGAAAUCCUGCUUGAUGAUAGAGCCACAAGACUGAAGACAACAGUCCGUGCUGCAGAGGGGCUCAUAUCUGGCUUCUGACUCAUCUCACAGAUGAGGAAACUGAAACUGAACUUUCUGGUUUCUUUCUCUGGUGUGCUCAUGCUGUAUUCCCUUUACUGAGUACCUUACUCCCUUCCUGUAUUCACAGAGCCCAACUGAAGUUCUACUUCUUCUAAGAGGAUUUCCUGACUCUUGUCCAUGGUGGUACUCCAAUGAUACUGCAAGCUUCUAGAAGGCAGGAGUCAUCUUUUAAAUUUCAAACCUGGGCACACAGUUAACGCUCAACAUCUAGUCAAGAUUUAACUGAUUGGAUGAUGGAAACCAGCUCUCGAGCAGUAAUAGGAGGAGAGGAAUGGAUUCAAGCCCAAGGAAAUUUAAUCCUUUUCUGACCCCUGGCCUGUCUCAUCCAGGAACUAGAUGACCAACACCUUCCUGAAGGCUAUGGAAUGGAAGAUGAAUGAAGGGCUGGGUUUUCCCCACAGGCUGGAAAAAAGGCAAGUCCAGUACUUUCUUCUGGAAAGAAAGAAAGAACUGGAAAA